CACAGUCUGUCUCGGGCUAUUCAGACGACAGCAACCCUUUCGGAGACUCCAACUUGACUGAGAAUUUGUGUGGAGGAAGAAGAUCGAACGCGACAUUGCGAAUAAGGCACUGAACUUGAAAGAUAUCUCCGUGAAAGCUGAAAGGGUGCGCCAGGAGGAACAGAUGAAGGAAAUCGAGAAGGUUAAGAAGAAACGGGAAGAGAGAGCCAUGGAGAAAGCAAAGAACGAGGAAGAGAAAGCCAUGCUAGCAAGAGAGC